rnacentral:misc_RNA from 1 species
AGCAAGCCCCAUAAGUAUGCAUGAGGUAUAAACUCUAUGGUUGAGAAGGUAUGAAGCCAUUCCAGUGAAACUGCAAUUCCAUCCAAUAUGUAUUGUUGCCAAUUUAUACUAUAUGAUUGAAAUAUCUUGCAAUUGUAGUUUUGUUUACUCAUUUCCCUCUACAUGUUUAGGUGGACAGCACCAUGAAGCAAAGUUGAUCCCCGUGGAAACAAGGUAAACUAUGAAUGCCACAUAUGCACCAGUGAAAAUGCAUACGGCAGUGGCAAAAAUUACUCCAUUCACUUCAUUGGAGAAAAAGUCGAUCAAAAGGUAACCAUUGAUUACUAUCACCAGAGCAGCCACAAGCCAUGACACCAUCUUGAGAACAAUACCAAUUUUGAAAGUGCCCAUGAUUUGCCCCUUGGAGACCAAAUAAAGAAGAGGGAUAAGUGCAAAAGGAAUCUGAAUUGAUUGAAGUACAUUUAGCCAUUCAUUUAGAACAUCCAAUGUGUCUUCCGAGGUAUCAAAAACAAGUGCAACAAUCAUAGU